CCUAUUUUCAACCCAAGACAGGUCCAGAGGAGCUGAAGGUCCCUGAAUUUGUAGAUUCAGCUUUGUCCAUUAAAAAAAAUUAAAGAAGAAGAAGAAGAA